UUAAUUUGUUCAAAGACAUGUUAAUCUUAUGUAUUUUCAUCUCACGUUCUCAUGGUGAUAUGAUAACUUGAACAGGUUUAUGAAGUUGAUUUUGUGAUCCAUUGCGUGGGAAGGUUUAGUGGGGUUCCAAACAUUCCAGAAUUUCCUCCAGGGAAGGGUCGUCAGGUGUGGGAAGGGUCCUCAGGUGUUUGAAGGGCAGGUCCUACACUCCAUGGACUGUGCUUCCAUGGAUCAUCAGACUGCUAAAGAAUUGGUCUGAGGAAAGCGUGUCGCCGUCAUCGGCCUCCAGAAAUCAGCACUUGACAUUACCAUGGAGUGCUCCACAGCAAAUGGGUGGAUCAUCCAUUUACAGUGAUAUACAGAACCGAAAACUGGAACAUCCCUGUCUACCAGCCAUGGGGACUUUCCAUAGCAUAUCUUUACCUUAAUCGCCUCUCUGAGCUAUCGGUCACAAGCUAGGUGAGGGGUUUCUCCUCAGUCUCCUGCCAACAUUGCUUUCCCCUCUGGUAACCUCUCUCCUAAUUCACAGUUCCCAGAUAAUAAAUUCAAUCCUCUAAAUAAUGAACCUAAUUUAAAUAACAGAGAUGGGCGUUUUCGAAAUUUGUCGAAACUCAAUACAACACAAGCUUCGUCUUGCUCAGUUCAGUAAGGUCCCAAAACACAGUUUUUUUACAAGAACUAAACUCUUGUUUGAUCUCAACCGUGCCAGAGGACUUCUACAAUCGGGUUGAGAAGGGAAGCAUCAAAUUGAAGAAAGCUCCAAGUUUCAAUUUCUGCAAAGAAGGCAUUUUGGUUGAUGGUGACACUGAAGCUGUAGAGAUAGAUAUGGUCAUAUUGGCUACUGGGUUCAAGGGUGUUGAAAAGCUCAAAGACAUUCUUGUGUCCCCAACCUCUUAGGACCACAUAGCAGGAUCACCCGAUAAAACAGUACCUCUACAGGAAUGCAUUCAUCCCCGAAUUCCACAGCUAGCAGUAAUUGGAUUCUGAGAGAGUGUAGCAAACCUGUAUACUUCGCAGAUAAGGUGUCGAUGGCUAGCAGAGCUUCUUGAUGGCACAUUCAAGCUACCCAGCAUUAAAGAGGACGAAAAAGAUGUAUUGGAAUGGGAUAAAUACAUGAAGCAAUACUCUGACAAGUACUACCGGAGAUCUUGCAUUGGUUCCCUUCAUAUAUGGUACAAUGAUCUACUCUGCAAGGACAUAGGAUGGAACCCUAAGAGGAAGAAGAGAUUCAUUGCCGAGAUGAUCGACCUUACGGCCCAACGGAUUAUGCUCAACCUCAAAACUAAAGCUCAAGGUGUGCUAAAAAAAGGUGUUGGUGUGCAAUGGGUUGCUUAAUUAUUUCAUUUGGUUGGUUCAAGUCAUUUGAAUUUCUUUUCUUUCUUUACUUGUAAGAGGACUUCUUGUCCUCCCUUUGUAUCUCCUUUUCAUUAUUAAUAAACACUUUUUGUUGCUGAUCAAAAAAAAAAAAAAGCCAACCAUGAAUGAAGUUGGAGAGCUGCAAAUCAUGUUCCUACUAAACAAACUAGGAUUGCGAUGUCUAGCUCACUUUCCAUAAUUCAUCAAAGCAUGUUACGGUCAUUUCACGGACACAAAAGUGUCCAGGAUAAUGCCACAGAUUAAUACUAUGUUGUUUAUGAGAACUACUCAAGAAGUUUAAGAGAUCAUAUCAACAGUUUGAAGAACCAGCCUAGAGUUAUGUUGGAGUUCAGAAGCAUUCAUACCUUGUCGAGAUGGUAAUGUAAACAACAUCCAGCUUUGAAGGCUUCUGAACUCCAACGUAACUCUAGACUGGUUCUUCAAAUUGUUGAUAUGAGCUCUUAAACUUCUUGGGUAGUUCUCAUAAACAACAUAAUAUUCAUCUGUGGCAUUAUCCUGGACACUUUUGUGUCCGUGAAAUGACCGUAACAUGCUUUGAUGAAUUAUGGAAAGCGAGCUAGACAUCGCAAUCUCAAAUGAAGGAAGAUUUCGUUCAGAUGCCUUCAGAGCUAGAUGACUUCAUUCAUACCUUGUCAAGAUGGUUGUUUUAUAUUACCAUUUAUUUAAAUUUAUUCAUAAGUGAUUUUGUUCACACCUGUUAUUUUGUUUGACAAGUACACCGAUGAGAACUUGGUUCACAACCAUUGUUGCCUGUGGGAAUCAGAGGAAAGAUUUACCUUCAUGAGAAAUGUUUAGGACAUAUGGCAUUUCCUAUCAAGACUUGAUAAGCAAAGGCACAACUCAGCUGUGGCAAAAAUACGUUUGCAAUGGUAUGUUGCUAACCACCGCAUUUGGAAUAAUUUUACACCAAAACCCAACCCGUUGAAUGAUGUAUAUAGAUAUUGUCAUUACGGUAACACUCUUGAGGAACUUGUUUGCUUUGUAAGAAAUGUGGUCAUCCAUAUUGGAAAUUAUUCAAAGAAUGGUAAGCUAAUCAACCGUACAGAAGUUGAUGGAUUGAUAUCAACUACCUUUCCUAUGUUGAUGGUGGAACUACAAAAGUGUCUAUAUUUUGAAGGAUUUGAACAUGGAAGAUUUCAUGAGAAGUUAAAUUGAUUUUUUGUAGCUCUUCGUGUAGGAAUGUAUGCCCACGAUUGUAAUGAACUUCUUUUAUGAAUGGAUGUGAAUGAUCAGUGUCAAUCAACAAUUGCAAGAAUUCAAUAUUUUACAUUCACUUAUCGGUAAAUUGAUUUUAACUGCCUUUCCUAUGUUGGUGGUGGAACUACAAAAGUGUCUGUAUUUUGAAGGAUUUACACAUGAAGAUUUCAUGAGAAGUUAAAUUGAUUUUCUGUAGCUCUUCGUGUAGGAAUGUAUGCCCACAAUUGUAAUCAACUUCUUUUAUGA